CCUACGGGUGGCAGCAGUGAGGAAUAUUGGUCAAUGGACGAGAGUCUGAACCAGCCAAGUAGCGUGAAGGAUGACUGCCCUAUGGGUUGUAAACUUCUUUUAUAUUGGAAUAAAAUGUUCCACGUGUGGGAUUUUGUAUGUACCAUAUGAAUAAGGAUCGGCUAACUCCGUGCCAGCAGCCGCGGUAAUACGGAGGAUCCGAGCGUUAUCCGGAUUUAUUGGGUUUAAAGGGAGCGUAGGUGGAUUGUUAAGUCAGUUGUGAAAGUUUGCGGCUCAACCGUAAAAUUGCAGUUGAAACUGGCAGUCUUGAGUACAGUAGAGGUGGGCGGAAUGCGUGGUGUAGCGGUGAAAUGCUUAGAUAUCACGAAGAACUCCGAUUGCGAAGGCAGUUCACUGGACUGCAACUGACACUGAGGCUCGAAAGUGUGGGUAUCAAACAGGAUUAGAUACCCUGGUAGUC
rnacentral:rRNA from 1 species